CACGUAGGGUGCGAGCGUUGUCCGGAAUUAUUGGGCGUAAAGAGCUCGUAGGCGGUGUGUCGCGUCGGCCGUGAAAACCUGCAGCUUAACUGUGGGCUUGCGGUCGAUACGGGCAUCACUGGAGUUCGGCAGGGGAGACUGGAAUUCCUGGUGUAGCAGUGAAAUGCGUAGAUAUCAGGAGGAAUACCGAUGGCGAAGGCAGGUCUCUGGGCUGACACUGACGCUCAUGCACGAAAGCGUGGGGAGCAAACAGG
rnacentral:rRNA from 1 species